GAUGAAGAACGCAGCGAAAUGCGAUAAGUAAUGUGAAUUGCAGAAUUCAGUGAAUCAUCGAAUCUUUGAACGCACAUUGCGCCCGCCAGUAUUCUGGCGGGCAUGCCUGUUCGAGCGUCAUUUCAACCAUCAAGCCCCAGGCUUGUGUUGGGGACCUGCGGCUGCCGCAGGCCCUGAAAACCAGUGGCGGGCUCGCUGUCACACCGGGCGUAGUAGAUUUUAUCUCGCUCAGGGCGUGCUGCGGGUUCCGGCCGUUAAAAAGCCUUUUUUACCCAAGGUUGACCUCGAAUCAGGUAGGAAGACCCGCUGAACUUAAGCAUAUCAAUAAGCGGAGGA
rnacentral:misc_RNA from 1 species